rnacentral:rRNA from 1 species
GGAAUAUUGGACAAUGGGGGCAACCCUGAUCCAGCAAUGCCGCGUGUGUGAAGAAGGCCUUCGGGUUGUAAAGCACUUUCAUUGAGGAGGAAAAGCUGUGCGCUAAUAGCGUACCGCCGUGACGUUACUCAAAGAAGCAGCACCGGCUAACCCCGUUCCAGACGCCGCGGUAAUCCGGAGGGUGCAAGCGUUAAUCGGAAUUACUGGGCGUAAAGCGCGCGUAGGCGGUUUAUUAAGUCAGAUGUGAAAUCCCCGGGCUCAACCUGGGAAUGGCAUUUGAGACUGGUAGGCUAGAGUGUGGUAGAGGUGAGUGGAAUUUCAGGUGUAGCGGUGAAAUGCGUAGAGAUCUGAAGGAACAUCAGUGGCGAAGGCGACUCACUGGGCCAUUACUGACGCUGAGGUGCGAAAGCGUGGGUAGCAAAC